UGUUCUGCCCUUCAUGAGCCUCAUCCUGAGAAACAAACCCACAGGGCUUUGGGGAGCAGAGACACCAACAUGGCUCUCCUUUCCUCUCCAUUCCUUAGGCAGCUCCAAGAGUUGGGAAUAGCCUGACCUCUAACAGUUUCUCUCUUGUUGUUUCUGAAAAAAUGUCUUCUUUUUUUUUCAGAUGGCAAAAAUAUGGCAUACUCUUCCAGAAGUUGGAGAAAAAUUUUCUUUGCUCUGUUGGAGUUUGUGUCUAUCUGGAGGUGCUGGAUGAGCUGGGGAUAUGCUGAGUGAGGCUGAGACCUUCUACUCUAACAUCCCUAUUGGCUACUCAGGGAAUAUUGUGAGACUUCUUGGCUUGGAUAAAUCUACACUCACUUUCCUGCAGAAAGGAACAUCUGAGGAAUGUGACAAGGACCCCUGCUACUGACACUUGGACUGUCACCUGCUGAAACCAUGGAACAGGGGCUCUUCUGAGGAGGUGACACAAGGCCCUCAAAACCACAACCAAGAUUGCUGCACAGGCUCUAAAAAGGCAGAUCAGAGCAGGGGCUGGGCUAAGAAGUUCCUAAAACAGGUGUUUUCAAUGCAUACCCAUCAACUUUACAGGAGUGUCACUCUCAACAGAACCACAUGUUAAAAUAAUUAC